ensembl:lncRNA
AUAUCUAACACUGUGGAGACCCUUACUAACCAACUGUCUUGUGUGAGUGGCAAAAACCAAAGCCUUUCUGAAGAGAAGAUUGGAGGGCUGCAAUACAAUCUCAGACGGAUUAUGGAUUUGAAUUUAAAAGUCUUCAUAUAUUUGGCUGAAAAUGACUCAAAAUCCGAGGUCCUCAAUGUCUUUGGAGUUUUGAACAGUCUCAACCCUGUUAAUGUCCGAAGUGAGACGUUCAUACGACUGUGGUCCAAAAUCCAGCUGGAACCUCUUUUGCCCUACAUUACUGGAGAAUUCAUGACCCUGUUGAGCACAAAAGACUUCAGCUGCAGCGCUUAUCAGGCAUUGAUCAAGACACUAAGUGAUGAUCUGGGAUCCAUUACCGAAGGGCAAAAACUAUUGUUAUACAAUCACAGAAGCACAGACGCUCAAAGCAGCCAAUCUGCCUCAAUAAACACAAAGCAACAACAAUUGAUCUUCACUUACUUCAUCCUACCAUUCCUUUCGAGAAAUGACACAACAGAUCCCGGCUGUGUGUCAAACACCAGUGGAAGCACGGACUGGCUCCAGAGGAACUUUGGCGUAUUUUCAGUUUUUGCAGAACUGUCCGAGUUACAAGUUCUUAAUCCCGGGUUUUCCAGCAUGGAAUCUCUCUCGGCGCUUACCCCAGACCAAGUGGCA